AGCUCCAAUAGCGUAUAUUAAAGUUGUUGCAGUUAAAAAGCUCGUAGUUGGAUCUCGGGUUCGGACUGGCGGUCCUACUCACGUAGGUACUGCUUGUUCCGACCUCCCUGCCGGUUUGUCCCUUGGUGCUCUUCGCUGAGUGCCUUGGGUGGCCGGAACGUUUACUUUGAAAAAAUUAGAGUGUUCAAGGCAGGCGUCUCGCCUGAAUAUUGUUGCAUGGAAUAAUGGAAUAGGACCUCGGUUCUAUUUUGUUGGUUUUCGGAACUUGAGGUAAUGAUUAAGAGGGACAGACGGGGGCAUUAGUAUUACGGUGUUAGAGGUGAAAUUCAUGGAUCGCCGUAAGACUAACUACUGCGAAAGCAUUUGCCAAGAAUGUUUUCA
rnacentral:rRNA from 1 species